rnacentral:rRNA from 1 species
ACAUGCAAGUCGAACGGAAGUUAGAGCUUUGGUUUAACUUUAGUGGCGAACGGGUGAGUAACGCGUGAGGAACCUGCCUUUCAGUGGGGGACAACAGUUGGAAACGACUGCUAAUACCGCAUGACACUUUUGGGGGACAUCCCUUAAAAGUCAAAGCUUUAUGUGCUGAAAGAUGGCCUCGCGUCCGAUUAGAUAGUUGGUGAGGUAACGGCUCACCAAGUCGACGAUCGGUAGCCGACCUGAGAGGGUGAUCGGCCACAUUGGGACUGAGACACGGCCCAAACUCC